rnacentral:tRNA from 1 species
GGGCCUGUAGCUCAGUUGGUUAGAGCACCGUCUUGAUAAGGCGGGGGUCGUUGGUUCGAAUCCAACCAGGCCCACCA